AUGAUCUAAGCCAUGCGAGUCAUUGUAGCAAUACAAGGCAGACGGCUCAGUAACGCGUAGUCAAUCUACCCUAUGGACGGGAAUAACCUCGGGAAACUGAGAAUAAUGCCCGAUAGAACAUUAUACCUGGAACGGUUUAUGUUUCAAAUGAUUUAUCGCCGUAGGAUGGGACUGCGGCCUAUCAGUUUGUUGGUGAGGUAAUGGCCCACCAAGACUAUUACAGGUACGGGCUCUGAGAGGAGUAGCCCGGAGAUGGGUACUGAGACACGGACCCAGGCCCUAUGGGGCGCAGCAGGCGAGAAAACUUUGCAAUGUGCGAAAGCACGACAAGGUUAAUCCGAGUGGUUUCUGCUAAAGAAACCUUUUGCUAGUCCUAGAAACACUAGUGAAUAAGGGGUGGGCAAGUUCUGGUGUCAGCCGCCGCGGUGAAACCAGCACCUCAAGUGGUCAGGAUGAUUAUUGGGCCUAAAGCAUCCGUAGCCCGUUUUGUAAGUUUUCGGUUAAAUCCAUACGCUCAACGUAUGGGCUGCCGGGAAUACUGCAUAGCUAGGAAGUGGGAGAGGUAGACGGUACUCGGUAGGAAGGGGUAAAAUCCUUUGAUCUAUUGAUGACCACCUGUGGCGAAGGCGGUCUACCAGAACACGUUCGACGGUGAGGGAUGAAAGCUGGGGGAGCAAACCGGAUUAGAUACCCGGGUAGUCCCAGCUGUAAACUAUGCAAACUCAGUGAUGCAUUGGCUUGUGGCCAAUGCAGUGCUGCAGGGAAGCCGUUAAGUUUGCCGCCUGGGAAGUACGUACGCAAGUAUGAAACUUAAAGGAAUUGGCGGGGGAGCACCACAAGGGGUGAAGCCUGCGGUUCAAUUGGAGUCA
rnacentral:rRNA from 1 species